rnacentral:rRNA from 1 species
UACGGUGAAUACGUUCCCGGACCUUGCACACACCGCCCGUCAAGCCGUGGAAGCUGGGUGUACCUAAAGUCGGUAACCGUAAGGAGCCGCCUAGGGUAAAACUAGUGACUGGGGCUA